rnacentral:rRNA from 1 species
GCCCAAUAGCUAGCCCGUCCUCUAAAACCAACAGCCCCUAUUAAUACCCCCAAACACACUUAUUAGCCUAAAACAAAACAUUCUUCCCCCCUAGUACGGGAGACGGAAAAGGAACUAAGAGCAAUAGAGAAAGUACCGCAAGGGAAAGCUGAAAGAGAAAUGAAACAACCCAGUAAAGCCC